CAAGGUGGCUAUAGCGACGGGGCUCACCUCUUACCAUUCCGAACAGAGAAGUUAAGCCCGUUUGCGCCGAUGGUACUGCAUCCCGUGGGAGAGUAGGUCGCCGCCUUCC
rnacentral:rRNA from 1 species